GACGAACGCUGGCGGCGUGCUUAACACAUGCAAGUCGAACGGAAAGGCCCUGCUUUUGUGGGGUGCUCGAGUGGCGAACGGGUGAGUAACACGUGAGUAACCUGCCCUUGACUUUGGGAUAACUUCAGGAAACUGGGGCUCAUAUCGGAUAGGAGCUCGUGCGGCAUGGUGGGGGCUGGAAAGUUUCGGCUGUUGGGGAUGGACUGGCGGGUUAUCAGCUUGUUGGUGGGGUAGUUGCUUACCAAGCUUGCGACGGAUAGGCGGCAUGAGAGGGUGGACGGCGACAAUAGUACUGAGAUACGGCCCAGACUCGUACGGUGGGCAGCAGUGGAGAACAUUGCACAGUAAGGGGGAGCCUGAUGCAACAGCGCCGCGUUCGGAAUGACGGCCUUCGGGUUGUAAACAGCUUUCGCCUGAGACGUGGCGUUAGUGACGGUAAUGGAUAAAGAAGCACCGGCUAACUACGUG
rnacentral:rRNA from 1 species